rnacentral:rRNA from 1 species
CCUACGGGAGGCAGCAGUGAGGAAUAUUGGUCAAUGGACGCAAGUCUGAACCAGCCAUGCCGCGUGCAGGAUGACGGCCCUAUGAGUUGUAAACUGCUUUUGUACGAGGGUAAACUCAGAUACGCGUAUCUGUCUGAAAGUACCGUACGAAUAAGGAUCGGCUAACUCCGUGCCAGCAGCCGCGGUAAUACGGAGGAUUCAAGCGUUAUCCGGAUUUAUUGGGUUUAAAGGGUGCGUAGGCGGUCGGUUAAGUUAGGGGUGAAAGCCCGAGGCUCAACUGCGGAAUUGCCUUUGAUACUGUUCGGCUAGAGAGUAGUUGCGGUAGGCGGAAUGUGUGGUGUAGCGGUGAAAUGCUUAGAGAUCAUGAAGAACACCGAUUGCGAAGGCAGCUUACCAGGCUACUUCUGACGUUGAGGCACGAAAGCGUGGGGAGCAAACAGGAUUAGAUACCCCAGUAGUC